UGCCAGCAGCCGCGGUAAUACGGAGGGUGCAAGCGUUAAUCGGAAUUACUGGGCGUAAGGCGAGCGUAGGCGGAUUGAUAAGUUGGAUGUGAAAGCCCCGGGCUUAACCUGGGAACUGCAUUCAAAACUGUCAGUCUAGAGUAUAGGAGAGGAGAGUAGAAUUUCUGGUGUAGCGGUGAAAUGCGUAGAGAUCAGAAAGAAUACCGGUGGCGAAGGCGACUCUCUGGCCUAAUACUGACGCUGAGGUUCGAAAGCGUGGGGAGCAAACAGGAUUAGAUA
rnacentral:rRNA from 1 species